rnacentral:rRNA from 1 species
GUGGGGAAUCUUGCGCAAUGGGCGAAAGCCUGACGCAGCCAUGCCGCGUGAAUGAUGAAGGUCUUAGGAUUGUAAAAUUCUUUCACCGGGGAAGAUAAUGACGGUACCAGCAGAAGAAGCCCCGGCUAACUCCGUGCCAGCAGCCGCGGUAAUACGGAGGGGGCUAGCGUUGCUCGGAAUUACUGGGCGUAAAGGGCGCGUAGGCGGACAGCUUAGUCAGAGGUGAAAGCCCAGGGCUCAACCUUGGAAUUGCCUUUGAUACUGGCUGUCUUGAGUUUGGGAGAGGUGAGUGGAACUCCGAGUGUAGAGGUGAAAUUCGUAGAUAUUCGGAAGAACACCAGUGGCGAAGGCGACUUACUGGCCCAAUACUGACGCUGAGGCGCGAAAGCGUGGGGAGCAAACAGGAUUAGAAACCCGAGUAGUCC